AUGAACGCUGGCGGCGUGCCUAAUACAUGCAAGUCGAGCGAACGGACGAGAAGCUUGCUUCUCUGAUGUUAGCGGCGGACGGGUGAGUAACACGUGGAUAACCUACCUAUAAGACUGGGAUAACUUCGGGAAACCGGAGCUAAUACCGGAUGAUAUUUUGAACCGCAUGGUUCAAAAGUGAAAGACGGUCUUGCUGUCACUUAUAGAUGGAUCCGUGCUGCAUUAGCUAGUUGGUAAGGUAACGGCUUACCAAGGCAACGAUGCAUAGCCGACCUGAGAGGGUGAUCGGCCACACUGGAACUGAGACACGGUCCAGACUCCUACGGGAGGCAGCAGUAGGGAAUCUUCCGCAAUGGGCGAAAGCCUGACGGAGCAACGCCGCGUGAGUGAUGAAGGUCUUCGGAUCGUAAAACUCUGUUAUUAGGGAAGAACAUAUGUGUAAGUAACUGUGCACAUCUUGACGGUACCUAAUCAGAAAGCCACGGCUAACUACGUG
rnacentral:rRNA from 1 species